rnacentral:ncRNA from 1 species
AGAUGAGAGAAACACCCCGCUCGCAGGGGACUGCGGGCGACACCGGAGCGGAGCAUCCCCAGCACCGCUUUGGUCGUGCCUUCGCGCACACCACUGGAGAUUCAGGCUCUGGAACUCCUUGCCGAUCGGA